rnacentral:rRNA from 1 species
GCAGUCGAACGAUGAAGACCGUGCUUGCACGGUUGGAUUAGUGGCGAACGGGUGAGUAUCACGUGAGUAACCUUCCCUUAACUCUGGGAUAAGCCCGGGAAACUGGGUCUAAUACCGGAUACGACCAGUCCUCGCAUGGGGUGCUGGUGGAAAGAUUUAUCGGUUUUGGAUGGACUCGCGGCCUAUCAGCUUGUUGGUGAGGUAAAGGCUCACCAAGGCGAUGACGGGUAGCCGGCCUGAGAGGGUGACCGGCCACACUGGGACUGAGACACGGCCCAGACUCCUACGGGAGGCAGCAGUGGGGAAUAUUGCACAAUGGGCGAAAGCCUGAUGCAGCGACGCCGCGUGCGGGAUGACGGCCUUCGGGUUGUAAACCGCUUUCAGCAGGGAAGAAGCGCAAGUGACGGUACCUGCAGAAGAAGCGCCGGCUAACUACGUGCCAGCAGCCGCGGUAAUACGUAGGGCGCGAGCGUUAUCCGGAAUUAUUGGGCGUAAAGAGCUCGUAGGCGGUUUGUCACGUCUGCUGUGAAAGCCCGGGGCUCAACCCCGGGUGUGCAGUGGGUACGGGCAGACUAGAGUGCAGUAGGGGAGACUGGAAUUCCUGGUGUAGCGGUGAAAUGCGCAGAUAUCAGGAGGAACACCGAUGGCGAAGGCAGGUCUCUGGGCUGUUACUGACGCUGAGGAGCGAAAGCAUGGGGAGCGAACAGGAUUAGAUACCCUGGUAGUCCAUGCCGUAAACGUUGGGCACUAGGUGUGGGGGACAUUCCACGUUUUCCGCGCCGUAGCUAACGCAUUAAGUGCCCCGCCUGGGGAGUACGGCCGCAAGGCUAAAACUCAAAGGAAUUGACGGGGGCCCGCACAAGCGGCGGAGCAUGCGGAUUAAUUCGAUGCAACGCGAAGAACCUUACCAAGGCUUGACAUGGACCGGACCGCUGCAGAGAUGCAGUUUCCCUUCGGGGUCGGUUCACAGGUGGUGCAUGGUUGUCGUCAGCUCGUGUCGUGAGAUGUUGGGUUAAGUCCCGCAACGAGCGCAACCCCUAUCCUAUGUUGCCAGCACGUUAUGGUGGGGACUCAUGGGAGACUGCCGGGGUCAACUCGGAGGAAGGUGGGGACGACGUCAAAUCAUCAUGCCCCUUAUGUCUUGGGCUUCACGCAUGCUACAAUGGCCGGUACAAUGGGUUGCGAUACUGUGAGGUGGAGCUAAUCCCUAAAAGCCGGUCUCAGUUCGGAUCGAAGUCUGCAACUCGACUUCGUGAAGUUGGAGUCGCUAGUAAUCGCAGAUCAGCAACGCUGCGGUGAAUACGUUCCCGGGCCUUGUACACACCGCCCGUCAAGUCACGAAAGUGGGUAACACCCGAAGCCGGUGGCCUAACCCUGUGGGGGGAGCCGUCGA